rnacentral:lncRNA from 10 species
CCGCCCACUCCAGGCCUCACCCUCCGGGCUGGAAGAUCUGCCCCUCCUGGGCCUCCGGAUCCUGGCUGGGAGCCAUCUCUGCCUCCUCCCGCUUCCUGGACUCCUGAUCAGUUUGCUAUCUCUCCAUCGCUGGCAUUCAGACGGCCUCACCCAUCUCCCCAAGGGACAGCUGCUCCCAGACCCGCCCUGCAGCUGAGCGGCAAGACGAGCAGAAUUUUCCCGGUGAACAGGAGACAAGGGUAAAGCUGCACGUGUGUCAGUCAUGAAAGCCCAAAUCAGGAAACAGAUUAGGACUCUAAGGGAGCUCUGCUGACCGAAGACGAUCUCCCCAGGAGAACAGGCACCGAGGGCCCACUCCCCGCCCGGCCAUUUUCCAAACAGAUAAAGGGAAACUCACAUUUCUUUUUUUUAAACUGAGUUUCAAGUCUUUGGAAAGCUCAUAUGCAAUUGACAGCCGCUGACUUCUGGAGACAUUAAAAAAAAAAUUAAAAGCAUAUUAGGAUGUGAUGUGGGACAGCAGAUUUGGAGUUCAAAGGGUGUCAGUUCAGAUAUGGUGAACAGCCACUGGUGAGCGAGGUGCGUAACCCUGAGAGCCUUCAGCUCUGGAGCCUGUGAGAGCUUCCCCUGCAGGCUUGUUGGGAGGUUUAUAGGAAAGAGGACCCAUGACAGGCAAGGCAGCAUCUGCUAUGCAGGAGGCGCUCCACAAACCCGCUCCAAAUGAGUGAAUGUAUUUUCCGUGUCUGUGACACGGUAGUCACUCAGUAAGUGUAGAUUUUGUCCCUUUCUUUUCCCAGAUGAGCAGCCACCAUAGAGUUGGUUUCUGUACUUCAACCUCUCAAUCAAGCCAAAAACACAGCUUCUUGGAGGGACCAGGCCAUCUCUGCAAGAUAUUCCUCAACCGUGACAUCAGCAACCAUCUUAGGCCAUUGGCAGGGAGUGAGCUGACUACUCCCCAGGAUCUCAGGUCCUUUUCCAGGAGUAAAUGGCCAUCGUGCACCCAUGGGAAGAGUGCUGCAUCCACGGAGGACCUGGGCCAACAGUGCUCUGAAAUGGGUUUCAUGAAAGCAUCUGUGACUCAUCCCUGUCCAAGAAUGUUUUCAUUAAGAUUCAGCAGAAGCGAUGUGCCAGGUCAGCAAAUACAACUGCAAAACUGGGGCCUGCCAGCCUGGCCAACACAGCAAGACCCCGUCUCUACUAAAAAUUAA